rnacentral:tRNA from 2 species
GCCGGAGUGGCGAAAUUGGUAUACGCACUAGACUCAAAAUCUAGCGGGCCUUCACCGGCCCAUGUCGGUUCGAGUCCGACCUCCGGCACCA